rnacentral:rRNA from 1 species
AUGGCCAUGGGUAUGCCCUCGUGCGACUGGCGGCUGAGGUGCUGCCCCACGCACAGGCGACUCGGAGGCCGCGGCUUCCCCCCCUACGACGGUGGCUCAGCGCGGCGGCCUCCCAGGCUCCCAGCUGCCCCUCACGCAACAACGACUUGGUGGCCGCGAGGCUUUCCCGCGCGACAGUUUCUGGAUGGCAGUGACGAUGCCCUCACGCGACGACGUCGGCAACUCGCUGAAUUCUGCACCCCUAAGCUUUGA